rnacentral:rRNA from 1 species
AGUUUGAUCAUGGCUACAGAACGAACGCUGGCGGCAGGCUUAACACAUGCAAGUCGAGCGCCUCGCAAGAGGAGCGGCAGACGGGUGAGUAACGCGUGGGAAUCUACCCAUCUCUACGGAACAACUCCGGGAAACUGGAGCUAAUACCGUAUACGUCCUUCGGGAGAAAGAUUUAUCGGAGAUGGAUGAGCCCGCGUUGGAUUAGCUAGUUGGUGGGGUAAUGGCCUGCCAAGGCGACGAUCCAUAGCUGGUCUGAGAGGAUGAUCAGCCACACUGGGACUGAGACACGGCCCAGACUCCUACGGGAGGCAGCAGUGGGGAAUAUUGGACAAUGGGCGAAAGCCUGAUCCAGCCAUGCCGCGUGAGUGAUGAAGGCCCUAGGGUUGUAAAGCUCUUUCAACGGUGAAGAUAAUGACGGUAACCGUAGAAGAAGCCCCGGCUAACUUCGUG